UACGAAGGGGGCUAGCGUUGCUCGGAAUCACUGGGCGUAAAGGGCGCGUAGGCGGAUCGUUAAGUCAGAGGUGAAAGCCCAGGGCUCAACCCUGGAAUUGCCUUUGAUACUGGCGAUCUUGAGUACGGGAGAGGUGUGUGGAACUCCGAGUGUAGAGGUGAAAUUCGUAGAUAUUCGGAAGAACACCAGUGGCGAAGGCGACACACUGGCCCGUUACUGACGCUGAGGCGCGAAAGCGUGGGGAGCAAACAGG
rnacentral:rRNA from 1 species